rnacentral:rRNA from 1 species
CCUACGGGAGGCAGCAGUGGGGGAUAUUGCACAAUGGGGGAAACCCUGAUGCAGCGACGCCGCGUGGGUGAAGAAGCGCCUCGGCGCGUAAAGCCCUGUCAGCAGGGAAGAAAAUGACGGUACCUGAAGAAGAAGCCCCGGCUAACUACGUGCCAGCAGCCGCGGUAAUACGUAGGGGGCAAGCGUUAUCCGGAUUUACUGGGUGUAAAGGGGGCGCAGCCGGGGAUGCAAGCCAGGAGUGAAAGCCCGGGGCCCAACCCCGGGACUGCUCUUGGAACUGCGUGGCUAGAGUGCAGGAGGGGCAGGCGGAAUUCCUGGUGUAGCGGUGAAAUGCGUAGAUAUCAGGAGGAACACCGGUGGCGAAGGCGGCCUGCUGGACUGCAACUGACGUUGAGGCCCGAAAGCGUGGGGAGCAAACAGGAUUAGAUACCCCAGUAGUC